CUUAUCUUGGAGGAAUAGCUCUGUAAGCUUAGAACUUACCCAUAUGUAGAUAAGA
rnacentral:tRNA from 1 species